rnacentral:rRNA from 1 species
CUCGUAGGUGGUUUGUCGCGUUGUUCGUGAAAACUCACAGCUUAACUGUGGGCGUGCGGGCGAUACGGGCAGACUAGAGUACUGCAGGGGAGACUGGAAUUCCUGGUGUAGCGGUGGAAUGCGCAGAUAUCAGGAGGAACACCGGUGGCGAAGGCGGGUCUCUGGGCAGUAACUGACGCUGAGGAGCGAAAGCGUGGGUAGCGAACA